rnacentral:rRNA from 1 species
UGGGGAAUAUUGCACAAUGGGGGAAACCCUGAUGCAGCGACGCCGCGUGAACGAAGAAGGUAUUCGUAUCGUAAAGUUCUGUCCUAUGGGAAGAUAAUGACAGUACCAUAGAAGAAAGCUCCGGCUAAAUACGUGCCAGCAGCCGCGGUAAUACGUAUGGAGCGAGCGUUGUCCGGAAUUAUUGGGCGUAAAGGGUACGCAGGCGGUUUAAUAAGUCGAAUGUUAAAGAUCGGGGCUCAACCCCGCAAAGCAUUGGAAACUGAUAAACUUGAGUAGUGGAGAGGAAAGUGGAAUUCCUAGUGUAGUAGUGAAAUACGUAGAUAUUAGGAGGAAUACCAGUAGCGAAGGCGACUUUCUGGACACAAACUGACGCUGAGGUACGAAAGCGUGGGGAGCAAACAGG